CAAGAAGAUGGUAAGGGCAAACGGUGGAUGCCUUGGCACAGGAAGCCGAUGAAGGACGUGAUAAGCUGCGAUAAGCCACGGUUAGGAGCACAUAUCCGCUAACCCGUGGAUUUCCGAAUGGGGAAACCCGG
rnacentral:rRNA from 1 species